rfam:Pristionchus pacificus strain PS312 contig6708, whole genome shotgun sequence.
UCUUCAUUUCCCACACUUUCUCACCGGCCAGAGAGACGAGAGAGUGUGCGAAAUGAAGAGA